rnacentral:misc_RNA from 1 species
UCAAACUUGGUCAUUUAGAGGAAGUAAAAGUCGUAACAAGGUCUCCGUUGGUGAACCAGCGGAGGGAUCAUUACCGAGUUGCAAAACUCCCAAACCCAUUGUGAACCAAUACCACUGUUGCUUCGGCGGACACGCCCCGGGCGCACCUCCUCACGGGGGCGUGCCCCGGAACCAGGCGCCCGCCGGGGGACCGAAACCUCUGUAUUUACCAUUUGAGUACUCUGAGUGUGAUUUACAAAAUCAAAAUUAAAACUUUCAACAACGGAUCUCUUGGCUCUAGCAUCGAUGAAGAACGCAGC